UGCCAGCAGCCGCGGUAAUACGUAGGGGGCAAGCGUUGUCCGGAUUUAUUGGGCGUAAAGAGCGUGUAGGCGGCUUUACAGGUCCGCUGUGAAAACUCGAGGCUCAACCUCGAGCUGUCGGUGGAAACCGUAAGGCUAGAGUCCGGAAGAGGAGAGUGGAAUUCCCGGUGUAGCGGUGAAAUGCGCAGAUAUCGGGAAGAACACCCGUGGCGAAGGCGGCUCUCUGGGACGGUACUGACGCUGAGACGCGAAAGCGUGGGGAGCGAACAGGAUUAGAUACCCUGGUAGUCCACGCCGUAAACGAUGGGUGCUAGGUGUGGGAGGUGUCGACUCCUUCCGUGCCGAAGCUAACGCAUUAAGCACCCCGCCCGGGGAGUACGGCCGCAAGGCUAAAACUCAAAGGAAUGACGGGC
rnacentral:rRNA from 1 species